UACGUAGGGUGCAAGCGUUGUCCGGAAUUAUUGGGCGUAAAGCGCACGUAGGCGGCUUUUCAAGUCCCAUGUGAAAGCCCACGGCUUAACCGUGGAAGUGCAUGGGAAACUGGAAGCUUGAGUACUUAAGAGGAUCGCGGAAUUCCCGGUGUAGAGGUGAAAUUCGUAGAUAUCGGGAGGAACACCAGUGGCGAAGGCGCGAUCUGGGAAGAUACUGACGCUGAGGUGCGAAAGCGUGGGGAGCAAACAGG
rnacentral:rRNA from 1 species